rnacentral:rRNA from 1 species
AACGAACGCUGGCGGCAGGCUUAACACAUGCCAGUCGAACGCCCCGCAAGGGGAGUUGCAGACGGGUGAGUAACGCGUGGGAACAUACCCUUUUCUACGGAAUAUCCCUGGGAAACUGGAAUUAAUACCGGAUACGCCCUAUGGUGGCAAGAUUUAUCGUGGAAGGAUUGGUCCGCGUUGGAUUCGCUAGUUGGCUGGGUAAAAGCCUACCAAGGCGACGAUCCAUAGCUGGUCUGAGAGGAAGAUCCGCCACAUUGGGACUAGGACACGGCCCAGACUCCUACGGGAGGCAGCAGUGGGGAAUAUUGGACAAUGGGCGCAAGCAUGAUCCAGCCAUGCCGCGUAAGUGAUGAAGGCCUUAGGGUUGUAAAGCUCUUUCACCGAUGAAGAUAAUGACGGUAGUCGGAGAAGAAGCCCCGGCUAACUUCGUG